AACGACUCUCGGCAACGGAUAUCUCGGCUCUCGCAUCGAUGAAGAACGUAGCGAAAUGCGAUACUUGGUGUGAAUUGCAGAAUCCCGCGAACCAUCGAGUUUUUGAACGCAAGUUGCGCCCAAAGCCAUUCGGCCGAGGGCACGUCUGCCUGGGUGUCACGC
rnacentral:rRNA from 1 species